rnacentral:lncRNA from 1 species
CUUAAGAUGAGAAACCAAAUGAACAAAGCAUAAGCUGAGAUAGAACCUAGGAUGGUGUUCCAAUGCCGAGAAAGCAAAUGAAUAAAGAAGAAAGUAAGAUAGAACCUAUGAUGCUGUCCCAAUGUUGACAAAGCAAAUGAACAAAGAAUAAACUAAGAGAGAACCUAGAAUGGUGUCUCAAUGACAAGAAACAAAAUGAACACACAAUUAUGAGAAAC